rnacentral:rRNA from 1 species
UACGUAGGAGGCAAGCGUUGUCCGGAGUUACUGGGCGUAAAGCGCACGCAGGCGGUUCAGUCAGUCUGUUGUGACAGGGCACGGCUCAACCGUGUCAGGCUUACGGAAACUGCUGAACUUGAGGGCUUCAGAGGGAUAGGGAAUUCCGGGUGGAGUGGUGAAAUGCGUAGAGAUCCGGAAGAACACCAAAGGCGAAGGCAGUGUCCUGGGGAGUACCUGACGCUCAGGUGCGAAAGCCAGGGGAGCGAACGGG